UUGGAGGGCAAGUCUGGUGCCAGCAGCCGCGGUAAUUCCAGCUCCAAUAGCGUAUAUUAAAGUUGUUGCAGUUAAAAAGCUCGUAGUUGAACCUCGGGGUCUACCCAUCGGUCAGGCUUAAUUGUCUGUACUGGUGAGAUGGAUCUCUACCUUCUGAGGAACUUUCAUUUCAUUUAUUUGGUGUGAUGGGAAAUCAGGACUGUUACUUUGAAAAAAUUAGAGUGUUUAAAGCAGACUAUCGUCUGAAUACAUUAGCAUGGAAUAAUGAAAUAGGACGGACUGAUUCUAUUUCGUUGGUUUCUAGGAUCACCGUAAUGAUUAAUAGGGAUAGCUGGGGGCAUUAGUAUUCAAUUGUCAGAGGUGAAAUUCUUGGAUUUAUUGAAGACUAACUACUGCGAAAGCAUUUGCCAAGGAUGUUUUCAUUAAUCGAGAACGAAAGUUAGGGGAUCGAAGACGAUCAGAUACCGUCGUAGUCUUAACCAUAAACUAUGCCGACUAGGGAUCGGACGAAGUUAAUUUUAUAAUGACGCGUUCGGCACCUUACGGGAAACCAAAGUGUUUGGGUUC
rnacentral:rRNA from 1 species